UACAGGGGGGGCAAGCGUUGUUCGGAAUUACUGGGCGUAAAGGGCUCGUAGGCGGCCAACUAAGUCACACGUGAAAUCCCCAGGCUUAACCUGGGAACUGCGUGUGAUACUGGAUGGCUUGAAUCCGGGAGAGGGAUGCAGAAUUCCAGGUGUAGCGGUGAAAUGCGUAGAUAUAUGGAAGAACACCAAUAACGGCGAAGGCAGUUAACUAUUCUGUUACUGACAUUGAGGCACGAAAGCGUGGGGAGCAAAACGG
rnacentral:rRNA from 1 species